UACAGAGGGCUCAAGCGUUGUUCGGAUUCAUUGGGCGUAAAGGGUGCGUAGGCGGCGCGGCAAGUCGGGUGUGAAAUCUUGGAGCUUAACUCCGAAACUGCAUUCGAUACUGCCGUGCUUGAGGACUGGAGAGGAGACUGGAAUUUACGGUGUAGCGGUGAAAUGCGUAGAUAUCGUAAGGAAGACCAGUGGCGAAGGCGGGUCUCUGGACAGUUCCUGACGCUGAGGCACGAAGGUCAGGGGAGCAAACGGG
rnacentral:rRNA from 1 species